rnacentral:rRNA from 1 species
AGGGAUCAUUGCUGGAACGCGCCCCAGGCGCACCCAGAAACCCUUUGUGAACUUAUACCUUUUGUUGCCUCGGCGCAUGCUGGCCUCUAGUAGGCCCCUCACCCCGGUGAGGAGAAGGCACGCCGGCGGCCAAGUUAACUCUUGUUUUUACACUGAAACUCUGAGAAAAAACACAAAUGAAUCAAAACUUUCAACAACGGAUCUCUUGGUUCUGGCAUCGAUGAAGAACGCAGCGAAAUGCGAUAAGUAAUGUGAAUUGCAGAAUUCAGUGAAUCAUCGAAUCUUUGAACGCACAUUGCGCCCUCUGGUAUUCCGGAGGGCAUGCCUGUUCGAGCGUCAUUUCAACCCUCAAGCAUUGCUUGGUGUUGGGGCACUGCUUCUAACGAAGCAGGCCCUGAAAUCUAGUGGCGAGCUCGCCAGGACCCCGAGCGCAGUAGUUAAACCCUCGCUCUGGAAGGCCCUGGCGGUGCCCUGCCGUUAAACCCCCAACUUUUGAAAAUUUGACCUCGGAUCAGGUAGGAAUACCCGCUGAACUUAA